UACGAAGGGGGCUAGCGUUGCUCGGAAUCACUGGGCGUAAAGGGUGCGUAGGCGGGUCUUUAAGUCAGGGGUGAAAUCCUGGAGCUCAACUCCAGAACUGCCUUUGAUACUGAGGAUCUUGAGUUCGGGAGAGGUGAGUGAAACUGCGAGUGUAGAGGUGAAAUUCGUAGAUAUUCGCAAGAACACCAGUGGCGAAGGCGGCUCACUGGCCCGAUACUGACGCUGAGGCACGAAAGCGUGGGGAGCAAACAGG
rnacentral:rRNA from 1 species